UACGUAGGGUGCGAGCGUUAAUCGGAAUUACUGGGCGUAAAGCGUGCGCAGGCGGUCUCGUAAGCUGGGUGUGAAAGCCCCGGGCUUAACCUGGGAAUGGCAUUCGGGACUGCGAGGCUCGAGUGUGGCAGAGGGAGGUGGAAUUCCACGUGUAGCGGUGAAAUGCGUAGAGAUGUGGAGGAACACCGAUGGCGAAGGCGGCCUCCUGGGCCAGUACUGACGCUCAUGCACGAAAGCUUGGGGAGCAAACAGG
rnacentral:rRNA from 1 species